rnacentral:rRNA from 1 species
UACGGAGGGUGCGAGCGUUGUCCGGAAUCAUUGGGCGUAAAGGGCGCGUAGGUGGCUUCUUAAGCGUGCGGUGAAAGCCUGGGGCUCAACCCCGGGUCGGCCGUGCGAACUGGGGGGCUGGAGCACUGUAGAGGCAGGCGGAAUUCCGGGUGUAGCGGUGGAAUGCGUAGAGAUCCGGAAGAACACCGGUGGCGAAGGCGGCCUGCUGGGCAGUAGCUGACGCUGAUGCGCGACAGCGUGGGGAGCAAACAGG